rnacentral:rRNA from 1 species
UACGUAGGGGGCGAGCGUUGUCCGGGAUUAUUGGGCGUAAAGCGCGCGCAGGCGGUUUUUUAAGUUCGUGGUGAAAGACCGGGGCUCAACCCCGGAGCGUCCGCGAAGACUGGAAGACUGGAGUGUCGGAGAGGAGUGCGGAAUACCUGGUGUAGCGGUGGAAUGCGUAGAGAUCAGGUGGAACACCGAUGGCGAAGGCAGCACUCUGGCCGAAUACUGACGCUGAGGCGCGAAAGCGUGGGGAGCAAACAGG